UACGAAGGGGGCUAGCGUUGUUCGGAAUUACUGGGCGUAAAGGGCGCGUAGGCGGUGUGUCAAGUCAGGCGUGAAAGCCCCGGGCUCAACCUGGGAACCGCGCUUGAGACUGGCACGCUCGAGUUCGGGAGAGGAUGGUGGAAUUCCCAGUGUAGAGGUGAAAUUCGUAGAUAUUGGGAAGAACACCGAUGGCGAAGGCGACUUACUGGACUGUAACUGACGCUGAGGCAUGAAAGCGUGGGGAGCAAACAGG
rnacentral:rRNA from 1 species